CUCAAAGUUGGAAAAUGGUUAUCUAAAUUCACAGUUUUUUCGCAUAUAUUAAAAAGAAACAAAUCAAAUGGCCCAACCUCGCCAGAACAGCCUGCUGUCGGGCAUUCAAGCCGUACGUCUGUUUUGGUCUGUCCACAACGAACGGCGCCGUUCGAGUCAAAUCAGUCAACUAACCCAACGCAGCCAAUCCGACGACGCUUGCUCCCAGCCGGCAACCGAUGAUCCGGCCAAGGUAGAGUCGAAGAUAUGUCGCAUAUGUCGCGCUGGUGAUGAAUUGCUGCUGGAAAAUCUUUGCAACUGCAAGGGAAGCAUUGGCCAUAUCCACGAGCGGUGCCUUCGGCUGUGGACCAUCUACCAGUCCAGUCAGGUGUGCGAGAUCUGUCACUGCAAGUUUCGCUGGGACCUCGGUAGUACCCUGUCGGUGAAAUCGAGCGACUGGAGAUUGGUUGGAAACUUUCUCCGAAGGCGCUACUUUUGGGUUUUGGUGCGAGAUUUGCUAAAUUUUCUAGUUUUAUUCGGUAUUUCUGUGAUGCAGAAUGCCAAUGUAAUGUCCAUGGUUCAGGAUGAGCAAGAGAGCGGUUUCACGGCGAUUCUGCCGCUGACGGUGAUUUGUGCCUCCUGUUACGAUAUGUACUUCACCCGAUGGGUGGUGAACAGAACCGUGAAGGCGUAUAAUUUGAUCCGGGAAUACUGGACCAUGGCACACGAUGACGAAUUUCUGGGCUAUUUUGACGAAGAGUUUGCUGUUUUCGGCGAAAAUCAAAUCGAAAUCGAGGAUAUGCUGCUAGCGGAGUACGAAGCUCCCGAUUAGAUGCGGAAUAGCAGAACGUAGAAGGUACGAGAUGAUGAAUCACCAGCUUGGAAUGAUGUAGUCGAAACACGCCCUCCUAGCCUCGACUGCAUUUAUCGUCGGUGGAAGCGAUGAAAAUUUGCGGUUGCCAGUACGGUACACAACUGGGAUGACAAAUUUAUGAGUUGGAAUUAAUGGUUUGCUAGUCGGCAUCGAAUAGUGUGCAGUGCGGUUCUUUGCGAAAAUGUUUUUUUUUUCGACGAACAUAUCGUCACAACAUGAAGUGAAUAUAUUCAAAUAUUUAACAAUUUAUUGGGUA